GACAGAGGGUGCAAACGUUGUUCGGAAUUACUGGGCGUAAAGGGCUCGUAGGCGGCCAACUAAGUCAGACGUGAAAUCCCUCAGCUUAACUGGGGAACUGCGUCUGAUACUGGAUGGCUUGGAUUCGGGAGAGGAAUGCGGAAUUCCAGGUGUAGCGGUGAAAUGCGUAGAUAUCUGGAGGAACACCGGUGGCGAAGGCGGCAUCCUGGACCGACACUGACGCUGAGGAGCGAAAGCCAGGGGAGCAAACGGG
rnacentral:rRNA from 1 species